GACGAACGCUGGCGGCGUGCUUAACACAUGCAAGUCGAACGGAAAGGCCCCUUUGGGGGUCCUCGAGUGGCGAACGGGUGAGUAACACGUGAGUAACCUGCCCUUGACUUCGGGAUAACUUCAGGAAACUGGGGCUAAUACCGGAUAGGAAUCCUUGCUGCAUGGUGGGGGUUGGAAAGCUUCGGCGGUUUUGGAUGGACUCGCGGCUUAUCAGCUUGUUGGUGGUGUAGUGGCUUACCAAGGCUUUGACGGGUAGCCGGCCUGAGAGGGCGACCGGCCACAUUGGGACUGAGAUACGGCCCAGACUCCUACGGGAGGCAGCAGUGGGGAAUAUUGCACAAUGGGCGGAAGCCUGAUGCAGCAACGCCGCGUGCGGGAUGACGGCCUUCGGGUUGUAAACCGCUUUCAGCAGGGGCGAAGCUUGUGGUGACGGUACCUGCAGAAGAAGCACCGGCUAACUACGUG
rnacentral:rRNA from 1 species